rnacentral:rRNA from 1 species
AUUGAACGCUGGCGGCAUGCUUUACACAUGCAAGUCGAACGAGUGGCGCACGGGUGAGUACUACAUCGGAACGUGUCCUAUCGUGGGGGAUACCUGAUCGAAAGAUCAGCUAAUCCCGCAUACGAUUGGAGCGCCCGUUGCCCGAUUAGCUAGUUGGGGAGGUAAUGGCUCACCAAGGCGACGAUCGGUAGCGGGUCUGAGAGGACGACCAGCCACACGGGGACUGAGACACGGCCCAGACUCCUACGGGAGGCAGCAGUGGGGAAUCUUGGACAAUGGGGGCAAGCCUGAUCCAGCCAUGCCGCGUGCAUGAAGAAGGUCUUCGGAUUGUAAACUGCUUUUGUUAGGGAAGCGGUACCUAAAGAAUAAGCACCGGCUAACUACGUGCCAGCCGCCGCGGUAAUUC